rnacentral:rRNA from 1 species
GAUGAACGCUGGCGGCGUGCCUAAUACAUGCAAGUCGAGCGGACGGACGCUGCUCUUGCUUCUCUCACGUUAGCGGCGCACGGGAGAGUCACGCGUGGAAACCCUACCUAUAAUACUGGUAUAACUUCGGGAAACCGGAUCUAAUCCCGUAUAAUCUCUUGAACCGCAUGGUUCAAUAGUAAAAGACGGUCUUGCUGUCACUUAUAGCUGGAUCCGCGCUGCAUUAGCUAGUUGGUAAGGUAACGGCUUACCACGGCAACGAUGCGUAGCCGACCUGUGAGGGUGGUCGGCGACAUUGGAACGGAGACAGGGACCAGACUCCUACGGGAGGCAGCAGUAGGGAAUCUUAGGCAAUGGGCGAAAGCCUGACGGAGCAAGGCCGCGUCAGUGAUGAAGGUCUUGGGAUCGUAAAACCCUGUUAUUAGGGAAGAACAGAUGUGUAAGUAACUGUGCACUUCUUGACGGUAACUAAUCAGAAAGCCACGGCUAACUACGUG